rnacentral:rRNA from 1 species
CGAUGCAACGCGAAGAACCUUACCUGGUCUUGACAUCCACGGAAGUUUUCAGAGAUGAGAAUGUGCCUUCGGGAACCGUGAGACAGGUGCUGCAUGGCUGUCGUCAGCUCGUGUUGUGAAAUGUUGGGUUAAGUCCCGCAACGAGCGCAACCCUUAUCCUUUGUUGCCAGCGGUCCGGCCGGGAACUCAAAGGAGACUGCCAGUGAUAAACUGGAGGAAGGUGGGGAUGACGUCAAGUCAUCAUGGCCCUUACGACCAGGGCUACACACGUGCUACAAUGGCGCAUACAAAGAGAAGCGACCUCGCGAGAGCAAGCGGACCUCAUAAAGUGCGUCGUAGUCCGGAUUGGAGUCUGCAACUCGACUCCAUGAAGUCGGAAUCGCUAGUAAUCGUGGAUCAGAAUGCCACGGUGAAUACGUUCCCGGGCCUUGUACACACCGCCCGUCACACCAUGGGAGUGGGUUGCAAAAGAAGUAGGUAGCUUAACCUUCGGGAGGGCGCUUACCACUUUGUGAUUCAUGACUGGGGUGAAGUCGUAACAAGGUAACCGUAGGGGAACCUGCGGUUGGAUCAC